AAAAAUGUAAUUUUAAAAAUUAAAUGAUUUUAAGUUAAUUUCUUUAAAGUUAAAUAUUUUGGCGGUAUUUUAGACUUUUCAGAGGAACCUGUUUUGUAAUCGAUAAUCCACGAUUAAAUCUACUUUAAUUAGAAAUUUUUAUAUCAUUGUUAUUAAAUAUUUUUAAAGAAUUUUAAUAUUUAAGAUUUUAAAUUAAAAUAAAUUUCAAAUCAUGGUGAAGUUUAUAUUAAAGUUUUAAUGGGUUACAAUAAAUUUAUUUUUGGAUAAAAUUUUGUAAUAAAAAUUUUUGAAAUUGGAUUUGAAAGUAAUUAAAUUUAAUUAAAUUUAAUGAUUUAGCUCUAAAAUAUGU
rnacentral:rRNA from 1 species